rnacentral:tRNA from 1 species
GUUGUGGCUCAGUGGUAGAACAUUUGCCUAAGGUGCGUGAGGCACUGGGUUCGAUCCUCAGCACAACA